rnacentral:lncRNA from 1 species
ACCCUGAUGGUUGUAUGGUCGUUAGAUUGAAUUUUGUCCUUGUGAGAAUGAUGAAUAUUUCUUGGUCCUGAAGCAUGAUAUCUAAAUAACAUUGAUGUAUCUUGCAAACAACACAAGACCUGAUAUAACUUUUGUUGUAAACUUGUUAGCAAGAUUUAGUUAUUCUCCAAACAUAGACAGUGGAAUGGAAUUAAACAUGUAUUCAGAUAUCUCAGAAGGACCAUUAAUAUGAGAUUAUUUUAUUCAAAUGAUUCAAAAUCUCUAUUAGUUGGCUAUGCUAAUGUUGGUUAUUUAUCGAAUCCACAUAAAUGUUGAUCUCAAAUGGGAUAUUUAUUUGCAUGUGGGGGUACUGUCAUAUCAUGGCGUUCAACAAAGCAAACAUUAACUGCUGCUUCUUCGAAUCAUGCAGAAAUAAUUGCAAUGCAUGAGGCACGUCUAGAGUAUGUUUGGCUAAGGUUAUUGACCUAACAUAUCCAGAAGAUAUGUAAUUUGCCUUUACAGAAAAAGAUGCCAACUAUCUUAUAUGAAGAUAAUGCAACAUGUAUAGCUCAAUUGAAGGGUGGUUACAUCAAAAGUAACAGAACAAAACAUAUUUCACCAAAAUUAUUCUUCACCCAUGUUCUUGAGAAAAGAGGUGAUAUAAAUGUUCAACAAAUUCGUUCUAAUGAUAAUUUAGCAGAUUUUUUUUUAUUAAAGUAUUGCCAACUUUAAUAUUUGAAAGACUACUACACAUGAUUGGAAUGCGUCGACUUAAAGAUAUAAUGUCAUGUUGCCAUAGGGGGAGUCUAAGAACAAGUUGUACUAUUUUCCUUUAACUAAGGUUUUGUCCCAUUGGGUUUUCUUUGUAAAGGUUUUUAACGAGGCAGCUUGUAAUAAAAGAUUUUGUACUAUUUUUCCUUCAUUAUGUUUUUAUCCCACAGAGUUUUUCCUAAACAUUAUCUAUCAAUGGACAUCUAAGGGAGAGUGUUAUGAAUAUUUUAUUAAAUGGAUGUUCAUCAAGAUCAAGAUAAGUUUUGAUGUAGUUUAAAUUCUAAUAGUCAUUAGAAUUAGAUCUAUACUUCAUUUAUACUUCUUAUGCCUAUAAAUAGAUACUUUGAAGAAGUAUUAUAAUCAUCCCAUUUGAUCAAUAAAAUACAUUCUCUAUUGCUUCCCCUAUUUUAUUUGUUCUUCAUUAUUUUUAUCUCUCUUUAUUUUAUAACAAAAACUAAUUAUUUUGUAAUUAAAAGGUCAUAAAAAAUGAAAAUUAAAAAUAAAUAACUAAUAAAGGGUAAUUUUAUAUUUUUAUUUAAAAUACAUUGUGUAUAACCUUUGGAAUGCAUUUUUCAUUAAACUUGAGUAUUUUUUCAAAUGUAUAAAGAUAGUCCGUAACGUUUACAUUUUUUUAUUAAAUCAAUCAUCAAAAUUUCAAAAAAAGUUGAAUUGGUGCUUUUUAACAAAAAUAUCGACUAAAACGUUAAAAUUUUAAACAUGCCAGCUCAUAUGGCAAUCUAUGCAUACUUCAUGUAUUUUUUUUGAAUUAUUUGUUCUUUUUAAAUUAUUUCUUAACGUGACAUGUACGAUAAAUAGUAUCAUGUCAACAUGAAGUAUACACGAACUACCAUGCAAGUUGCCACACUAACAUCGUUAAAAAAAUUUAUGUUUUAGACAAUAUUUCCAUUAAAAAAAAAUCAAAAUGACACUUUUUGAAAGCUUAAUGGUCAAAUUUAACUCAAUAAAAAAUAAGAGCCAAAUUGGCAAAAAAAUAUCAAUAUUAAGGGCUAAAUCUAUCAUUAUGCCUUUUUCAAACCAAAGUGAUAGUUUAUAUAAUAUGUUUAAGUAGUUCAUAAAUAAUUAAAAAUUAGUAAAACGGAAAAGAAUAGAUUUUUAAAUAAAAAUAAACAUAGUCAUUAGUUGUAGAAAUGCAGAGUUGUAAAGAGAUUAUAAGAAACCAAGGUUUCACUAUGUUAGUUAAAAAUUGUUUGAUUAAAAAAGGGGAGGGGAGAUAUUAAUGUACUGAAAUGCAAUGAAUUUAUGCCAUUGUGGCUCAAGGCAUGAGUUCUUUCCCGGAAGACAUUAGUGUCACAGAUGUUUAUAGGGGGAUAGGUUCCAGUUAGAGCUGCAGAAAUUCAGAUACAUGGAAAUGUAUGUACCUAAUGAGUAAUAUCCAACAGUUGGGGAAGAAAGAGCUUAUUCCAGGCAGGGAGGAAAAUGGGGGCAUCUUUUUGCUUUAUGUCAAAAGGGCAAUAACCACAAGUACCCCCCUUUGAUUUCGGGGGAAAGUGGACCCUUUUGGUUCAAAUCAGUGUUUGUUCAACUAUGAAGCUCCUGCUGAUGUUGUGUUAUAGGAUUUCUUACUUGCAAACAGAAUCAAAUACAUAAUUGAUUAUGAAGCAACUUUUAAAGCAGGAAUAGAAUUUUUUCAAAGUCAUUGCUAAAUGAUGACAUGAUAUACAGAAAUUGGAAAUAUUCUAUCCAUUUCCCAAAUACACCAUGGGUUAUAAAUAGGAUACUAUAUACAUAAUUGUCACCAUCCAUCUACUGAUAUUAGACCCAAGGAGAUUGCUAAGCACUGUCAAGCUUUCAUCUUCUCCCUUGUAACCCAUCAUCUACUGCAUUACAAUCCCAGGCUUUCAAUGUGCCCAGAACGGUUUAGCUGGAGUGCGCUUCAGUGCCUUCACUGCCAAAGGAUUGCCCUUGCUCUGCCAAAAAAACAACUGUUUAAAACUUCAAUUGAAACAAAUAGAAUGAAAGGAUUGAUGACUUUGGACUUAAGCGUACCAUCAAGCAGGUGCCUUCAUGUAUGUUGCAGACAGGGUAGUCAUGAGGGCAGCAGCUGUAGCGAUCUUCGCAGCAAGUGGCAGCCUCGAGUGGGCAGCAUCCCCAAGCAAAGCAGUAGUUAUAGUACUCGUAUAUGCAGCAGCAGGUAUUGCUCUCGGGACAGGAAUAAUAACUAUCGCACACGGUCGGAGGCUUUAUAGGAGAUGGUGGAGACGGUCCGGGAUUGGGGGGAUUUUCACCUGUUUUGAUCGGAUAAGAGGCUUCCAUCGCGAUCCCACAUUUGCCAGUUACGGUAUUGGCCACAUUCCUUGCCAUCCUGAUAUAGCCUGCUUCUCCCCAGCUGCUUCCCCAUGAGUUCUUUACAAUCCAAUAGUCUUUACCUUUCUCUGUGCCAUAUCCAACAGCAGUGACACCGUGGUCUAGUUGUGUUCCACAUUUUCCAUCAAAUAU